rnacentral:misc_RNA from 1 species
GAUGCUUAUGUUGAGCAAGAAUGAGCAAUUUCAUGUGUCAAUUUUGGUUCAAAAUCUUUGAAGUCAAGCAUCAGUCGCAAAUAAGCUGAUGAAGACUGCUAAAGAGAAUCUAUGCAUUCUCACCAUAUUUCGUGACUUCAUGUAUUGCAUUUGCUAAGUAAUUUACAUUGCCUGUAGUAACACCGGCCAUACUCAUUCGUCCAUCAUGAGUCAUAUAAAUGUGGAAUUCCCUUGCUAGCCAAUCAACCUGUUUGGGGGUUAAGCCAGAGAAACAAAACAUCCCAACCUGGUUUGUUAUAUGUUGCCAAUUGAGAGACCAAUUGAGAGAAGAACCCAAUUGCCAAAGGCUUUCCUUCACCUCCUUGACCCAAAGUGCCUUUAUAUCUGGAUCACUCAGGACAGUAGAGACUAGUGAUGUACCAUGAACAGGAG